rnacentral:rRNA from 1 species
GACGUAGGAGGCGAGCGUUGUCCGGAUUCAUUGGGCGUAAAGAGCACGCAGGCGGUUUGGCAAGUCGGAUGUGAAAACCCGAAGCUCAACUUCGGGCCUGCAUCGAAACUGCCCGACUAGAGGUAGGUAGGGGAGAUCGGAAUUCCUGGUGUAGCGGUGAAAUGCGCAGAUAUCAGGAGGAACACCGGUGGCGAAGGCAGCUCGCUGGGACGGUACUGACGACUGGAGACGCGAAAGCGUGGGGAGCAAACAGG